rnacentral:rRNA from 1 species
AAUCCAUAGGUUAAUGAGGCGAACCGGGGGAACUGAAACAUCUAAGUACCCCGAGGAAAAGAAAUCAACCGAGAUUCCCCCAGUAGCGGCGAGCGAACGGGGAGGAGCCCAGAGCCUGAAUCAGCAUGUGUGUUAGUGGAAGCGUCUGGAAAGGCGCGCGAUACAGGGUGACAGCCCCGUACACAAAAGCGCAUGUGCUGUGAGCUCGAUGAGUAGGGCGGGACACGUGGUAUCCUGUCUGAAUAUGGGGGGACCAUCCUCCAAGGCUAAAUACUCCUGACUGACCGAUAGUGAACCAGUACCGUGAGGGAAAGGCGAAAAGAACCCCGGCGAGGGGAGUGAAAAAGAACCUGAAACCGUGUACGUACAAGCAGUGGGAGCACCCUUUGGGUGUGACUGCGUACCUUUUGUAUAAUGGGUCAGCGACUUAUAUUCUGUAGCAAGGUUAACCGAAUAGGGGAGCCGGAGGGAAACCGAGUCUUAACCGGGCGUUAAGUUGCAGGGUAUAGACCCGAAACCCGGUGAUCUAGCCAUGGGCAGGUUGAAGGUUGGGUAACACUAACUGGAGGACCGAACCGAC